GGAGUGGCGCAGUUUGGUAGCGCGCUUGCUUUGGGAGCAAGAUGCCGCAGGUUCGAAUCCUGUCUCC
rnacentral:tRNA from 1 species